rnacentral:rRNA from 1 species
UACAGAGGGGGCAAGCGUUGUUCGGAAUUACUGGGCGUAAAGGGCGCGUAGGCGGCCCGCUAAGUCGAACGUGAAAUCCCCGGGCUCAACCCGGGAACUGCGUCCGAUACUGGUGGGCUUGAAUCCGGGAGAGGGAUGCGGAAUUCCAGGUGUAGCGGUGAAAUUCGUAGAUAUCAAGCGGAACACCGGUGGCGAAGGCGGCCUUCUGGACGAUGACUGACGCUGAGACGCGAAAGCGUGGGGAGCAAACAGG